rnacentral:rRNA from 1 species
AUUGAACGCUGGCGGCAGGCCUAACACAUGCAAGUCGAGCGGCAGCGGGAAAGUAGCUUGCUACUUUUGCCGGCGAGCGGCGGACGGGUGAGUAAUGCCUGGGGAUCUGCCCAGUCGAGGGGGAUAACUACUGGAAACGGUAGCUAAUACCGCAUACGCCCUACGGGGGAAAGCAGGGGACCUUCCGGCCUUGCGCGGUUGGAUGAACCCAGGUGGGAUUAGCUAGUUGGUGAGGUAAUGGCUCACCAAGGCGACGAUCCCUAGCUGGUCUGAGAGGAUGAUCAGCCACACUGGAACUGAGACACGGUCCAGACUCCUACGGGAGGCAGCAGUGGGGAAUAUUGCACAAUGGGGGAAACCCUGAUGCAGCCAUGCCGCGUGUGUGAAGAAGGCCUUCGGGUUGUAAAGCACUUUCAGCGAGGAGGAAAGGUUGGUAGCUAAUAACUGCCAGCUGUGACGUUACUCGCAGAAGAUGCACCGGCUAACUCCGUGCCAGCAGCCGCCGUAA